UUCGCAAUGCCCGAAAGGGUGACGAAGCGACGCCGCGUGCGGGAAGAAGGCCUUCGGGUUGUAAACCGCUGUCGGGAGUUAAGAAAUGCAAGGGUGUUGACAGCAUCCUUGCUUGACUAAGGCUCCGGAGGAAGCCACGGCUAACUCUGUGCCAGCAGCCGCGGUAAUACAGAGGCGGCAAGCGUUGUUCGGAAUUAUUGGGCGUAAAGAGCACGUAGGCGGCUGUGUAAGUCGGUUGUGAAAGCCUUCCGCUCAACGGGAGAACGGCAUCCGGUACUGCAUGGCUUGAGUGCGGGAGGGGAGAGUGGAACUUCUGGUGGAGCGGUGAAAUGCGUAGAUAUCAGAAGGAACACCGGCGGCGAAGGCGACUCUCUGGCCCGUAACUGACGCUGAGUGUGCGAAAGCUAGGGGAGCAAACGGGAUUAGAUACCCCGGUAGUCCUAGCCGUAAACGAUGGGCACUAAGUAGAGGGGUUUU
rnacentral:rRNA from 1 species